rnacentral:tRNA from 1 species
AAAACCUUAAGUUAAAAAACUAUUAACCUUCAAAGUUAAAAUUACAAAUUAUAAAAGUAGGUUUUA